rnacentral:rRNA from 1 species
UACGUAGGGGGCUAGCGUUGUCCGGAUUUAUUGGGCGUAAAGAGCGUGUAGGCGGCCAGGUAGGUCUGCUGUGAAAACUCGAGGCUCAACCUCGAGACGUCGGCGGAAACCAUCUGGCUAGAGUCCGGAAGAGGAGAGUGGAAUUCCUGGUGUAGCGGUGAAAUGCGCAGAUAUCAGGAGGAACACCGAUGGCGAAGGCAGGUCUCUGGGCCACUACUGAUGCUGAGAAGCGAAAGCAUGGGGAGGCGAAC